AAUACAAGAUGAUGGAGCAGAAAAGGUCCAGAUGAGUCUGGAGUUCUCAAAAGUAGAAAGCUGAUGCGAGAUUGGAAGGUAGAUACCGUGGUUCGACGAGUCGACGGGUGUUUUGUACCAACUUUUUUCAUUUCCCAGCUAGGUCCCCAAGCAGAAGUAUAGGACUAGCUCCCCAGCAGAUUCAAGGUCUGUAAACUUCUCCAGCCAAGUCAGGAUGGUUGUCCCCGGCCGGUUUACAACGGUGUUUCCUCAGCAGCCAGGUCUGAAGGUUGCUAAUCCCCGAGU
rnacentral:lncRNA from 1 species